rnacentral:rRNA from 1 species
UACAGAGGUCUCGAGCGUUAGGCGGAAUCACUGGGCUUAAAGCGUGUGUAGGUGGAUCGUUAAGUACCUUGUGAAAUCCCACGGCUUAACCGUGGAACUGCUUGGUAUACUGGCGGUCUUGAGCCAGCUAGGGGCUACCGGAACAAAUGGUGGAGCGGUGAAAUGCGUAGAUAUCAGGAGGAACACCAAUGGCGAAGGCAGCACUCUGGGACGUGACUGACGCUGAGACGCGAAAGCGUGGGGAGCAAACAGG